rnacentral:rRNA from 1 species
AAUGCUAGCCGUUGGCGAGCUUGCUCGUCAGUGGCGCAGCUAACGCUUUAAGCAUUCCGCCUGGGGAGUACGGUCGCAAGAUUAAAACUCAAAGGAAUUGACGGGGGCCCGCACAAGCGGUGGAGCAUGUGGUUCAAUUCGAAGCAACGCGCAGAACCUUACCAGCCCUUGACAUCCCGGUCGCGGAGACCAGAGACGGACUCCUUCAGUUCGGCUGGACCGGAGACAGGUGCUGCAUGGCUGUCGUCAG